CUCUCCAUCUGUUCUUAAGGUUUUCCCAUUUGCAGUCUUUGGUUUCCUUUGAAGUGAUCAAAGCCUAGUUUUCUCUUUGUUACUUGAGUUGAAAGAACUACCUUUUUCUGAUUAUCCCUUAACACCACAGAGAGUACUGAGUUGUUUUGAAAACAAAAAUUCCCUAACAUGAAUCUUUUAUUCCCUUUUAUCUUUACCUACCUUAUGUAACUCUUAAUUUCUAAGAUGUAGCUCAAUACAUAUCCCAUAUCCCUUAGCCCCCAACGACUCCCCCCAAAAAACCUACAAAGGAAAAAAAAACAAUGCCUCUACUCUUAAUGGUGAGCUCUGUUUCUGUUCUCUCUUUUCAGGAUUCAGUCCUCCGCAGUCUCUUGAUUGCCCUCACGCUGUAUUCGACACAGGCUGGAGGGAAGUGUGUUUCAUGAAGGCAGUUUCUCGUGCUCUGCUAUCCCCCCCAGCACAGCGAAGAGGUUUGAGCUUCUCAGUAUAAGCUGCGGGAUGGUCUUUAACUUCCAAGAACAUACAGUUGGAUUGGAGUGACAAAACCGUGUGGACAUGGGCUUUCACAUAAUGAGUAAAUGCCUGUGAAGAUGUGUGCCGGAACCAUUCCCAGCGGACCCUGAUGCUGCCGUUCCAGGACCGCAGUCUGAGGACCACCGACUGACAGUGAGUAGAUGGGAGGCAUCUGUGGAAACACAGAUGCAUGAUGGAAGAGAGGUGUGGUUGGGGGCAAUUUCCCAGUCAAGCGGAAGGCCAGGCCGCUAGCUGCAAAGGGGGAGAAGAGGUUGUGGGUGCCUGAGGAGAGAGGAAAAGCUGGGGAAAUAGUCACCGAGGAGAAACGGGAGAGAGAGUGAACCACGGUUGACACAUCACAUGUUUGACAUCACUAUGGUCCACCGGAGCCUGUCCAUCAUGAAUUCCAGGUGAGACCAGGCAACGUGCUGUGGUUUUUGCCCAGCUACAUCCAGUUGGCAGAGGGCUGGAUUUCAGAGCAGUGGUGUGGCUGAGCAAGUAUGAAACAGCAUGAGGGCAAGAGAGUCGAGGAUAUAGGCAGAGAAAAAUGGCAGCGACUGCACAAGGAAGCGAGCUGAGAAAGGGUGGGUGAGAAGGAAGGUGGGGAGGGCCGGAGGGAGGACGGGUGGUGGCUGAAGCUGCUGGGAGGGGAGGGCCAGGGAGCCAAGCCAGAGGCCCUGGGCUGGAUGCACUGUGUCUGGAAAUACUAAAACUGCCCGGAAUGAAACAGGAGUGAGUGGUUUGGGUGAGUGACUGACUUCGGCAGAGAACUUCUAGAAAUGACAGGAGGAGUGGGCAGCCUCCCGUCAGUGGGGAAUACGGUUGGUGGCAUGGGAUUCAAAGUCGGCAGGCUGUAAGGAGGGGAGAGGGAUUGAGCCCAACAACACACAGCAGAGAUGUAGAGACAGUGCCGGGGACGGGGACAGGAUAGCAGAGUCCAGGCACGUCCCUCUGAGCAAAGGACAUCUACGCAGAGGCCUGGACGCAGGAAGAAGCCAGCCUCGUGAAGACCACAGGUGAAACAUUCGGACAGACAGAGGGACAGGCUCCAAGGAUGGAUGCAGCUGGUGUGGGCAGGAAAACACGCGAAGGAGGGAGAGCGUGCUGGGAGGGUCGUGAGCCAGGCAGGCCCCGCAGCAGACGCAGUCAGAUGGUCCGAGACAGUGCGGAGAGACCAAGUUCACGGGCCCCAGCAAGGGGUAUGGACUUGAUUCCAGUAAGAAGUGGAAGCCAGUACAGGGUGUUAAGCAGGGAGCCGUGUGAUCUGGUUCACGUUGGUUUACCCUGGCUGUCACACAGGGGGUGGACGGUGAAGGGCAGGAAGAAACAUCUGGAAGCCCGCUUCAGACCAAGGCCCUUGGAGACAGUGCUUGCUAUGCGCCUGGAUGGCCUUGUGCAAGCGCUUCCAUAACCUAGGGGAUGGGAAAUAGUCUUUUCUUCAUGUUGCAGCUGGGGAAACCGAGGCACGGAGCUUUACCUCGGCCAAUAAGAGAUAGAGCCAAGAUUCAAGCCUGGGUCCAGAUUCAAGGCUCGGAGCUCCGUGUGCUGUUCCGUGGGCUCGGAUGAGGGGAGAAGGAGGAGUGCUGGUGUGGAGAGGGCAGGGGCAGGAGACGUUUUGGAGACAGAACUGGCAGGAUCUGAGUGACACGUGGACUGUGAGGCCGAGUGAGAAAUUAAGACGCGAGGUCUGCGCCACUGUGUGGAUGGAUGGUGGUGCCACCUGCCAAGACGGGAAGUGCAGUGAAAGCAGCAAGUUUGGAGGAGAAAACUAUUAGCUUUGAGUAUGAAAAGUUAGGGAUGCCUUCCAGAAACUUCCAUGCAUUUUGGGGUAGGCAGUGGGAUAUAGUCCAAGAAGCUGGGGAGCCGCUGGAGCUGGAGAGGCAGCCUGAGGCAUCACCCCAUGCAGGUGGUCUUUAGACUGGUGGGGAGGGAGUGGGAGGAGGUGCAGGAGAGAGAGAUGUGGGCCGAGCCUGAGCAGCACCAACCUGAGUGGUCAACAAGAGGGGAUUUCAGUAAAAGACACGAAGGGAGGGCAGCCAGGAGGUGGGAGGACACCAGGAGAGGGCUGCGUGAACUCCUGGCUGGCACUGCCUCUCUGGUGGUCUCAUGACUCUGGGAACAGACAGCAAGGGCCAUCGAUCUGAGUCUACCCCCCUGGGUCAAUGUUUGCCCGGACAGAAGGGCAUCCCAGGCUCUCCCAGAUGAAGGCGUCAACCACAGUGUCCAAGGUCUAGCCCCCCUAGAGCUUGACACCCCGGUUUUGUAUUUAGCUGCCAGCUGUGUUAUAGGGACACUGCAGGCCGAAGGAUGGGUACUGAUCCUUGAUCAUGGUCUAAUGAGGGGUCAUGAGACCCAUCCAACCAAGGUGGAUCCUGGGAUCCUUUGGGGGAUUCAGACCAGCCUGAAAAGCAGAUUUGUCUGAAAAAAAAAAAAUCCUACAUCAUGGGCCGCCUCCUACCUUCUUUCAACAUCUCUGUUUUGUUUCCCAUGAGGAAAUCCCCAGCCUGGAGGAUCUGAGGCCUGCUUGCUUCUUCAUCCUGGGCCAGCUGCAAAUUUUCAAAAAUAUUCUAGAUCAUUCCUUCCUACAUGUUUUGGCUUCACACAGAAGCUGAUUUUGAAUUUAAGGUGAGCAUUUGUAAACUUUUACUUAACACUUUUUUGCAUUAAAAAAACUAAACUCCUAUAUUGUCAAGAUUAUCUAAGUUUGUUGAAGGUUUUCCCUGACAAAAUUGAAAUAUUCCAUUAUGUUCCUUUUCUGGUUGGAUGAUAAUGAUUUACUCUAAAAAAUACAUGACACAGAUCUUUGGCUCUUGUGCUGCAUUCCUGUAUGAAGCUUAACGGUCUUAUCUGGAAACAAUGAAGAAUAACCCUGAAAGGCCAAGUAGCAUUCUGGCUAUGAAUAGCUCAGUCCUGUGUGAUCACAGAACACCAGACAACAAGAAAUGCAUUCAGAUAAAAUAUGAGUAGGACACAAUG